CAGAUGAUGGAGCCGCAGUGAAAGCGAGGGUGAAUAGCCCGUCAAGUCGGAAGGAUUAGACCCGAAACCGGGUGACCUAACCAUGAGCAGGUUGAAGCAGCGGUAACACGCUGUGGAGGACCGAACCAGGGUACGCAGUAAAGUGCUUGGAUGACUUGUGGUUAGCGGUGAAAUGCCAAUCGAACUCGGAGAUAGCUGGUUCUCCUCGAAAUAGCUUUAGGGCUAGCGUUGUGUAGUAGCAUUUGGGGGUAGAGCUCUGAAAAGGUCUGGGGCCCGCGAGGGUACCCAUCCUUAUCAAACUACGAAUACCGAAUGUGUAAUCACGGCAGUCAGAACGGCGGGGCUAAGCUCGUCGCUCAAAAGGGAAACAGCCCAGACCAUCGUCUAAGGUCCCUAAUUAACACUAAGUGGGAAACAAGGUGAGAUUUCUUAAACAGCUAGGAUGUUGGCUUAGAAGCAGCCAUUCAUUUAAAGAGUGCGUAACAGCUCACUAGUCAAGAGAUUUUGCGUGGAAAAUGUAACGGGGCUCAAGUGUUAAACCGAAGACAUGGAUUGUUAUAUAGAUUCGUCUAUAUGGCAGUGGUAGAGGAGCGUUGAUAUUGCGGUGAAGUCAGAUUGUAAAGUCUGGUGGAGCGGUAUCAAGUGAGAAUGCUGGAAUCAGUAACCUUAAGACAGGUGAGAAUCCUGUCGGUCGUAAGAGCAAGGUUUCCAGGGCCACAGUAAUUGUCCCUGGGUUAGUCGGUCCUAAGCCGAGGCGUAUUAGCGUAGGCGAUGGACAACAGGUUAAUAUUCCUGUACUGGUAGUAGUUGUUAACAGUUCACGGAGAACAUCUCAGAGCGGAUUCAUGGUAUAUAUCCGUCCAAGGAUUUAGGGAACUAGAUUCGAGUGAAAGUUAUCCUUCGGGAUGACGAUUCUGGGGCAGGCUCUGGCUAGAAAAGCUGAUUAACUUAGGCUGCUGCCAACCGUACCGCAAACCAACACCGGUGCUCGAGUCGAGUAGACUCAGACCUACGAGGGAACCUUCGUUAAGGAACUCGGCAAAAAAGCGUCCGUAACUUCGGAAUAAGGACUGCCCGCUCGCAGUAAGCGAGAUUUGCUUUAGGAGUGACUCAACGAGUUAAUUUGUACCAAUUGUUUACGAAUUUUCUUUGUUGAGACAGAACACUUCUUUGGCAGCUCAAUCGCGCUUAGCGCGAGCGGGCCGCAGCUAAAGAGCCCACGGAACUGUUUACCAAAAACACAGGUCUCUGCUAACGCGAAAGCGGAUGUAUAGGGGCUGACUCCUGCCCAGUGUCGGAAGGUUAAGGGGAGAACUUCACGGUUCAAACUGAAGCCCCGAUGAACGGCGGCGAUAACUAUGAUCGUCCUAAGGUAGCGAAAUUCCUUGUCUGGUAAGUUCAGACCCGCACGAAUGGAGUAAUCAUGUGGGCACUGUCUCGACGAAGGUCUCGGUGAACGUGCAUUGGCGGUAAAGAUGCCGUCUGAUCAUGCCAGGACGAGAAGACCCCAUGGAGCUUUACUACAACUUUGCAUUGAUUGUUGGGAUAUUUUGUGUAGCAUAGGUGGCAGACUUUGAAGCAGAUACGCUAGUAUUUGUGGAGUCGCAAUGUGAAAUACCACCCUGAGUAUUUUAGCAGUCUCUACAUUGACCAUUAACUGGCCAAUGGACCGUGCAUGGCGGGUAGUUUAACUGGGGCGGUUGCCUCCUAAAGAGUAGCGGAGGCGUUCAAAGGUUGGCUAGUCACGGAUGGAAAUCGUGACGAUAGUGUAUGCGCAAAAGCCAGCUUGACUGUGAGGGCUACAACCCAAACAGACACGAAAGUGGGAGCAAAUGACCCGCUGUAUAGAACUUCGGUUCAAUUUACGUGGGAAAGACAGCGCACACGGAUAAAAGUUACCCUGGGGAUAACAGGCUGAUCGCGCCCAAUAGUUCACAUAGACGGCGCGGUUUGGCACCUCGAUGUCGGCUCAUCACAUCCUGGAGGGGGAGCACCUUCCAAGGGUCCGGCUGUUCGCCGGUUAAAGUGGUACGCGAGCUGGGUUCAGAACGUCGUGAGACAGUUCGGUUUAUAUCCGGCAUGAUCGUUAGGAAUUUUGAGGAGAUUUGCCUCUAGUACGAGAGGACCGAGGUGAACGAAUCUCUAGUGUAUCGGUUGUGGCCACCUGCUGCAUUGCCGAGUAGCUAUGUUCGGAAUAGAUAAGCGCUGAAAGCAUAUUAAGCGCGAAACUGACUCCAAGAUAAGAAUUCCCUAUGACCUCCCAGAAAGAUGAUCUGGUUGAUAGGCGCAAGGUGGAAGCAUGGCAACAUGUGGAGCCGAAGCGUACUAACAGAGGCAUUGCCUUUUUA
rnacentral:rRNA from 1 species